rnacentral:rRNA from 1 species
UACGGAGGGAGCUAGCGUUGUUCGGAAUUACUGGGCGUAAAGCGCGCGUAGGCGGCUUUGUAAGUUAGAGGUGAAAGCCCGGAGCUCAACUCCGGAACUGCCUUUAAAACUGCAUCGCUUGAAUCCAGGAGAGGUGAGUGGAAUUCCGAGUGUAGAGGUGAAAUUCGUAGAUAUUCGGAAGAACACCAGUGGCGAAGGCGACUGACUGGACAGAUAUUGACGCUGAGGUGCGAAAGCGUGGGGAGCAACAGG